rnacentral:rRNA from 1 species
UACGUAGGAUCCAAGCGUUGUCCGGAUUUACUGGGUGUAAAGGGUGCGCAGGCGGGCUUGUGCGUCAGGGGUUAAAUACACCGGCUUAACCGGUGACCUGCCCUUGAUACGGCAAGUCUUGAGUACGAGAGAGGAUGGUAGAAUUCCUGGUGUAGCGGUGAAAUGCGUAGAUAUCAGGAGGAAUACCAGUGGCGAAGGCGGCCAUCUGGCUCGUAACUGACGCUCAGGCACGAAAGCGUGGGGAGCAAACAGG